GCCGCUCGCCCAUCCGCCAGCGCCCGCAAGAAUCAGGUAAGGUCAGGAAACAGAGGCGGGUCCUGAGCUGGGACGUCGGCUAUCCAGGUAAAUUCUCGAGAGAGAAAUUACUGAGGAUGUAAACAUUUUAACGGCUCCUGACGACCAACUGACUGCCGUUUAACAAGGAGUGUUCUAGUGCACAAAGCUUCAGCAAGGCCCACCCAGAACAGUUUAAUCACCAUCUCCCCCAACAAAUGGCAUUAUCAAUAGAAUGAGACAGCCCGAGAAGGACUUGCCUGAAGCCACGAGCCUGUGCGUACCUUGUCGGCCCAGCUCCUGUGCCGGUGCGCCUUUGUGAAGCACCCCCGCUUCCUUCUCCUCCUGGAAGCGCGUCUGUAGCUGUUUGAUCUCCUGGUCAUAGUCCUGCCACUCUGGGACGAUUCGGACAGCGGCCUCCAGCUUGGGCUCUUUGGUCAUUGGAUUAUUACACUGUGAAAACCAAAAUAACAUACUUCAACUGAGCUGAAGGAAGGGUAUGUUACAGAGAAUUCCGAGGUGUUUCUGUUCUUGGGUUACAAGUCCUUACUGGACGAAAAGAACAACACUGAGGAAGCAGACGGUAUCAGCAGAAGCAGUGUGGUGGUGAGUGGGCUGUGCAAAGCUUCUGCAAAGAAGGGGUGGGGCGCUCCUGGAAGGCAGGAGAAGAAACGCUGGAAACGUUACAAGGCACAGAGUGAUCUGGAAGACCAGCGGUAACUUCACCGAUUCUAAGUAGUGAAAACAACCCCGUCACACACUGGAGGAUUUGGCUUCCUGCUGAGGUUGCUGUAAGCAGUUCUGCAGUCCCUGAACUGCACAGUUAAAGAGAAAGACUACAUUAUCUAGUCAUCCAUCAGACUGGACGAAGAAGCAGGAAAGAGCCACCGACAACUUACCAAAUCGAUUGUUUUCGCCCUUUUCUUAGAGGCAUCGUCACACCAUGUUUCACACCAAAGCCAUUCUUGAGGGAGUGAUUUAAUUGGCACCUGGUGGAUCAUGUUAUUGGGCAAAUCCUGUUCGGAAGAGAAGAUAAAACACAACAAUCUAAAGUUCUAGGGGAAUAAACAACAAGGUCCUACUGUAGAGCAGAGGGAACUAUAUUCCAUAUCCUGUGAUAAACCAUAAUGGAAAAGAAUAUGAAAAAGAAAAAAUAUACAUAUGUAUAACUGAAUCACUUUGAUGUACAGCAGAAAUUAACACAACAUUAUAAAUCAACUAUACUUCAAUAAAAUAUAAAAGAAAAUGUUUAGAAAUAAAGUCCUAGGGGAAAUUUAAAUAAAUGGCACAGCAAAUUAGCUGCUCAUUACAUAUCACAUGUCAAUCACAAAUUUUUAAAACAGAAAGGGUCCGUACCAAAAACCUUAGAGAAACUAAAAUAUUUAUUUACGGUGUUUUUAAAAACCACGAAGUUCAGAGGAUCCAUAAAACAUCUACCCAUAAUAAGCAUCUGAAAAACUUUAGCUUAAAACUCACAAAUAGCCUGCACCUAGAUUCCCUGCAUGAGGGCAAUUCUAAGAAAAACAGUACCGCCUUCUAAAAGCCAGUUAAGCAUCGAGUGUGGCUCUUGUACUUCAAGGUUUUGCUUAAAGGAAGCUCUGAAUCCACCUUGUCUACUGAGGCUUGAUCCCAAGUAGAUGAAGCCCACGUGCUUUCUAGCCAGCUGUACUCUAUGCUUUGAAGCUUUUCUCUCAGGAAAACUUGUGCGUUUGACACAAUAAAACGUUCCAUUGUCCAAAGACACAAACAACCAAUACGAUCCAAUAAUUUCACUUCUGGGUAUAUACACAAAAGAACUGAAAGCAGAGACUCAAACGGAUACUUGUACACCGAUGUUCAUAGAGGCAUUAUUCACAAGUCAAAAGAUGGAAAUAAGCCAAAUGUCCAUCAACAGAUGAAUAUCCAAACAAAAUGUAUAUACAUACAAUGAAAUAUUACUUGAUCUUAACAGGAAGAAAAGUUAGAUACAUGCUACAGCAUGGAUGAAUCUUGAAAACAUUAUGCUAAGUGAAAUAAAACAAACACAAAAGGAAAAAUAUUGUAUGAUUCCAAAAAUACCUGGAAUAAGCAAAUGCAUACUGACAGAAAAUAGAAUAGAGGUUACCAGGGGCUGGGGGCAGGAGAAAAGGGGAGUUAAGUGUUUAAUGGGUACAGAGUUUCUGUUUGGGACGAUGAAACAGUUCUGGAGAUGGACAGCUGCACACUGUGAAUGUACUUAAUGCCACUGAACAUUUAAAAAUAGUUAAAAUGGUAAAUUUUAUGUAUAUUUUACCACAGUAAAAAAUAAUCAAGGUAAAAUACAGGUACUUUCGGACAACAAAAACUGAAUUUGUUACUAGUGAACACUAAGUAAAGGACCUUCUUCAGGCCGAAGGAAAACGAUCCAAUAUGGAAGCCCAGAAAUGCAGGGAAGAAUGCAGAGUAACCAAAAGGGUAACUAUGUGAGUUAGUUCAAAUUUAAAUAGAUACUGACUAUAUUAAACAAGAAGAAUAACUUCUUCUGGGGUUUAAAAUAUAGACAGAUCUAAAAUACAUGGCAACAAGAUAUUUAGGUUGAGAUAAGGAUAAAUGGAGUAAUGAGUUCUAAGACACUGAUACUCAACAUGUAGUCUGUGGACUGGCAGCACAGAGUUUGCUAGGAAUGCAGAUUCUAAGGCCCAACCAUAUACCUACGGAAUCAGCCUGUGGGGGAUGGGGCCCAGGGAUUAAGGCUUUAAUAAGUUCUUCAGGUGAUUUUUUUAUAUAUGCUAAAAUUUGAGAAGAACUGUUCUGAUGUUUUUGCACUGUCUGGUAGAUGAGUAAAAUACACUAAUUAACAUUAGCCUUUGCAAAGUCAGAAAUGCAUACUGUAAUCUUUAGGCUAAUCAUUAAAAAAUUAUUUUAUAUGUAUAGUUUAAUAGAAAGAAAGUGGAAUUAUGAAAAAAUCCUCAAUCAAUCUGAAAGAAACUGACUAAGGAGAAAAAAGAAAUACAGGACAUAUGGAAUAAGCAGGAGGACUAUGGAGAAGCCAAACUUGCUGGUGAUUACAUUAACUAUAAAUGGACUAAUGUUCAAAUUAAAUGACUGUCACAACCACGUGAAAAAACAAACUGAUAUAAGCUAUUUAUAAGAAACAGAACUAAAACAUAAGGAUAAAGAAUGAUUGAGAACAGAAGGAUUAAAAAAAUAUACCAUGUAACACUAACUAAAAGGAAAACCAGCGUAGCUGCACUAAUACUAGAUGAUGCACACUUUAAGCCCCUGCCCAAAAAGCAUUCAUAGAGAUAAUAAAAGGUUAAUUUGUCAGACAUAUAUAUGACUUCUAAGUUUUUAGGUACUGAAUGAUACAGUCUCUAAGCACAUCAAGCAAAAUUUGACAAAACCAAAGACAAAGAAAGAUUUCACAACAUGGAAAGAGAUUUUAGCACAAUUCUCUCAGUAACUAAUAGAAAAACAGACAGACAAAACACACAUAACAACAUAUCACUAAACCUCACCUAAUGGACAUACAUAGAAAAACAUUACACCUAACAUCUGCAGAAUAUAAAACCAGUUGAAAUGUUUACCAAAACUAAUCAUACCUGGGUCAGCUCAACAAGCAAAGCUCAACAAACUUCAAAUGGCUGAGAUCAUACACAAUACUUUCUCAGACUAGAGCAACUGGGCUAGAACAAAAAAAACCCCUGGAAAAUCUCCAGGUAUAUAGUGAAAGAAACAGGAGGGGAAUUAAAAUAUCUAUUAAUGAAGGCAGUAAUGGAGGAACUGAGAAACACAAAAGACAUAUAGAAAACAAGUAGGAAAUUGGCAGAUGUAAAUCCUACCACACUAAUAAUUACAUUAAAUGUAAAGGGAUUAAACUCUCUAACUGAAAGCCACAUGGGCUGCCAGCUCACAUCUAUCAAUUUAACAGAUUAACAAUAAGUAUUACUCAAAAUUACAAAGAGCGUCAGGAAUUCUUACACUGCUGAUGGGAGUAUAAAUCAGAACUACUUUGGAAAACUGUUUGGAAUUAUCUAGUAAAGAUAAAGAUGGACCAAUCUGAUGACCCAGCAAUUCAACUUGUAGUUGCACACACAAUUGAAAUACGUAUACAUGUGCAUCAACCAACACAUGUGCAUAAACGAUGAUCACAGCAGCAUUAUCUGUAGAAGACAAAAAUGGAAAACAACCCAAAUGUACAAUAAACAAAACAUACUACCACUUCACACAACAACACAGAUGAAUCUCACUAACAUAACAUUAAGCAGAAGAAGUUAGACUCAAAAGAGUACAUCGUGUAUAAUCCCACUGAGACAGGCAGAAAAAAACAGGUAAAACUAUAGUGUUUAAGGAUACAUGUGUAAGUAGUAAUUCAAUACAGAAAAGCAAUGGAGUGAUUACCACAAAAGUCAGGAUGCUGGAUACUUCUGUUAAGAGGGUGGCUUCUGGGAUGCUAGUAAUGUUGUAUUUCUAAAACUGGGUGGUAGUACAUGGGCAUGUGCUUUGUGGUAAUUCCUUGGUGCAUAUGAAUAUGUAUAUAUUUAUAAAUUUUUGUUUUGUACACUCACUUUUCUUUAUGGGUGCUAUAUAUCACAAAUGCUUAAAAAUGUUUAAGGCAGACUUAAGCAAAACAAAAUAUGUGAAACUAUGUAUCUAAAACACAAACUAUAAUCUCACCUCUAAAAAAUGUUUAGCAUUAAUAAACAGUGACUCACCUAAACUUCUUAAA